GUACUUGGUUGGAUAGCGCACAUACUGAAAUUGGAAAGAUAGAAAGAAGAUAAGCAUGGCCCCCAUGCAAGGAUGGCCUACAGACUCUGUAGUGUUCCAUAUUUUU